UACAGAGGUCCCAAGCGUUGUUCGGAUUCAUUGGGCGUAAAGGGUGCGUAGGCGGCGCGGUAAGUCGGGUGUGAAAUCUCGGAGCUUAACUCCGAAACUGCAUUCGAUACUGCCGUGCUUGAGGACUGGAGAGGAGACUGGAAUUUACGGUGUAGCGGUGAAUGCGUAGAUAUCGUAAGGAAGACCAGUGGCGAAGGCGGGUCUCUGGACAGUUCCUGACGCUGAGGCACGAAGGCCAGGGGAGCAAACGGGG
rnacentral:rRNA from 1 species